rnacentral:misc_RNA from 1 species
GAUGAAGAACGCAGCGAAAUGCGAUACUUGGUGUGAAUUGCAGAAUCCCGUGAACCAUCGAGUCUUUGAACGCAAGUUGCGCCCGAAGCCACUAGGCCGAGGGCACGCCUGCCUGGGCGUCACACGUCGUUGCCCCCCCCCCAUCUACUCCUUCGGGAUUGCGGGGGGCGGAUGAUGGCCUCCCGUGCGCCUAGCCGCGCGGUUGGCAUAAAUACCAAGUCCUCGGCGACGCACGCCACGACAAUCGGUGGUUGCGAAACCUCGGUUGCCCGUCGUGUGCGUUCGUCGCGCAUCGAGGGCUCGAAAAAAUGCUCGGCUCCGGCUCGGCUUUCAACGCGACCCCGGGUCAGGCGGGGUUACCCGCUGAAUUUAAGCAUAUCAAUAAGCGGAGGA